AAAAGUGAAAAGCAAAUUUGUCGAAAGAUAAAGACGCAAAACCACAGGUCUAACUAUAGUAUUCUAUAUAUGACGGCUGGGUUGCCUAA
rnacentral:ncRNA from 1 species